CACGAAACCAGGCGAGCUACUGUAGGACGUAUAAUAGUACAAAGUAUGUGGCAUAAUAAUAGUAGAUCCAACAGUAGGAGUGAUAGGCUACCACGUCUGGUGAUAUCUUGUUGACCUUGAAGGGUAUUGAGUACAUUUCCAGUUUGCUGGUGAUAAGGCCGGCAAAGCUUAUAUAAUAUGAUUAUUAAUAAGAAUAUAGUUUAACCGCUGGUUCUUGAAUUACUUACCAUUAAUAUCUUGCGAUAGUAGACACUAAGGGUCAGUACAAAAUAACAACGGGUAUUUAUAAUGUGGGUAUAAGUAACUAAGAUGUCGUUACUGAACUCGGCAACAUUUCCUUCACCUGUUUACCAAAAACAUCGCCAGUAGGAGGUAUUAUUGGUAAAUUCUGCUCCAUGUAGUAUAAAUAGCCGCAGUACCCUGACUGUGCAAAGGUAGCAUAAUCAUUUGGCUUAUAAUUGAAGUCUAGUAUGAAUGAAUACAUGGGGGAAAGCUUUAUCGAUGGCAUAUACAGAAUUUAUUUAAUGGGUGCAAAUCCCCAUUUCUAAAUAAAAGACGAGAAGACCCUUGAAAUUUUUACCAUGGGCAAACGUAAGUUUUUGUUGGGGCAACAUAGUAGCAUUUAACCUACAAUACACUACACGACAUAAUUUAGUCAGACUAAAUUACUCUAGGGAUAACAGCGUAAUUCUGUGUGAGUUUGCGACCUCGAUGUUGGACUAGGAAGCGGAUGCUUAGAA
rnacentral:rRNA from 1 species